GGCCUGCCUAAUUUUUGUGAAAUUUGUUGAAAAAUAGCGCCCUUUCCAUUCCGCCAUUUCGCAUCCCGACUUAUCUCCUUCAUCACCAAAAACGCUAGAAACCCUAGUCAGAUCAUUUCAUCCUUCCCGGUUCCCACCAAUACCGUAGCAAAAUCAAUGUCGUCUCUCCUUUUCCGAACUCCUAAUUAAUGCCUUCACUUCUCUCGUACGGGGCCAAACACGGUGAAAAUUGAAAAAUCUCGAUUCAUCAUUAUCUCUUCUCCUUACCACCACCGGACCACCAUCAAAAAAGCACUACGACCUCUCUUCCGCCGCGCUUCAAUUGGCCAACAAUUGACCAUGCAUACUAAUUCAGAGACACCAGAGGUGUAUCUUGCUACAACUUCAUUUUUAGUAGGAACAUUCAUCACUUGCCAAAUGCUUGUAGUGAGAAAAGGAUAUAAGAUGGUUUCCAACAGCAGCAACAACAAUCACUGCCACAUCUAGUGCAGAGCCUUUAAGAAGAGGCUUAAAAACUAUUUCUUGAAGAAGGAAAGAGAUCCACUUGAUACCCACCUACUACAUCUGGAUAGGGCUACAAUGCAAAACUUCAAGGA